AUUCUUGACUAUGAUAAGUAAAGAUAAGGAAAGCAAAUGAAUUUGAGACCGCCACUUUUAAUUGCAAUUGAAUGAGUGAGGACAAUUUUAUCUUGUUUUGGUGAAACCGGGUGGAUUUUUAAUAAUAUAAAGGCCACAAAACACAAAAGGCAUCCACUGAAGUCACAAAGCCUAGCUCUCUCAUCCCCUUCGUCUUCGCUCUAUCUCCUUCUUGCUUGCUUGCUUGCUUCUCUUGCGACACUCGAAACUCAAACCCAGUUCAUCCCCUCCCUGUCUCUCUCUCUCUCUCUCUCUCUCUCUCUGUAAGUACCCAAGAACUGGCUCUGUUUCCUCAUGUUAACGAUCUUGACGUUUUCGGCUCCGGUGUUCUCAAUUCUCUCUCGGUUUUGGAGCAGGUCCAUCGGUGCGGGAACUGGGCAAUGGUGAUGUUGGGCAUCGAGAGGCUGAUGGGGAGCUUGAAGUCGAAGCUGCGGUCGCUGAAGAUGAAGAAGCCGUUCUACGACAAGAUCGAGAAGAGCGACAGCAUGAGGGUGGAGAUCAGAAGCAGGAAGGCCCGCAAGAUCAUCGAGGAGACCCUCAAGAUCGCCGACUCUCCCAAGACCAAAAGCUACGCCUUUUGAAUCAUCCCCCUCCAGUAAUACUUCUUGUUGUUUCUUUGGCGAAGGAAUGUCGUGCUUCUUAUCAGUACGUAUAAAGAUUUCUCGAGGCCGUGAUUUUGCCCGACUCGAAUUCGAGCUUCGCGCGACGUUCAGGUUGCAAUAAGACGAAGCAUAAGAGUAGUUUUCUCUCGA